rnacentral:ncRNA from 2 species
GAAAAUCUUCAGGGCAGGGUGAAAGUCCCUACCGGCGGUAAAGCCCGCGAGCACUAUGGUGCAGAUUCGGUGAGCUACAAGCAACUCCGAAGCCGACAGUACAGUCUGGAUAAAAGAAGAGAUAG